AUACUUACCCCAAAACAUGAUAGAUCAAUGUCUAACUAUUUCCGAUGAAAAUGCAAAGAUUUGCGCCAAAGAGACUAAGAAAAAUACCAUUAGCUCACUAGACUAGAGUAACACAAAUUACACUUCAUUUCCGAUCUCCAUGAAAUCAGUCAAAUAUAACGCAAACUCCUCAAACCCUGAAAAAGUACUAAGUUUUAGAAUCAAGUACCAAGUUUUAGAAUCAUGUGUAUUCUAAUCUCGGUGGAACAAUGAAGGAUUCUAACAGUGACAUAAUAACAGCAAGCAGCAACCCCAUGAAUCCACACACAUGCUAAAGUCGAUUGCCCUGUGCAGGUUAGAAAAGUAGAAGCUCCAGAUGACGAAAACCUCCCUUCAGUAUGAUCGGCACAAACCUCCCUUCAAUGGAAUGCCUAAAAAAGCAAUUUUUUCACCUCCCAACCUCAAUAACAAUUGUGGGCUCCAACAUACACAUCCUUGUACACUAGAAUAGUAAAAAUUACAAUGAUCUUACCCAGCAUUCCUAAUGUAUCUUACAGAAACUACAACCAAUUUCAAGAUUAGAUGACGCAUCUGGCCAUCUGUGAUUCUGCAUGAGAGUACCCUUACUUCCAACACCCCAAGCAAAAGCAAAACUCUAGCCAGGAUUCAGAGAAGCACCCAACCAGACUAACACAAUAGCAAAAUAUAUAUCCUUUUAUGCUAUAUGCAUUAGAUGGCAAUUAAGAAAUACAAUCACAAAGUAUGAUUAUAUUAAAGAAAAUCAUAAUGUAUAAUUCAUUGAGAUGCUAUAAAAUUAGCAUUUUAUCAACACUUUCAAGCACUGAAGUUCUCAAGGUGAUAUAUUAGCAUUUUAACCAAACAAUUGAACAUGGCAAAAUAUUGUAUGUCUAGAACACACACAAAAAAAGGGGGAAAAUAACAUAUUUCCUAGGACUUCAGGGAGAUUUAUAAUGUUAACUCUCGCCCAUAUCCAAAUAAUUUUUUAUAUUCUACCAUAUGUAACAUGGUGAGAAUUUUCAACAAACAACUUGAACUAGGACGAUAUCUCUAACAAACAAAAAUGCUUUGCAUUGAUAUGUUCCAACCAAUAAACGAAUUAAGCUAAAACUAGCCCAAGCUGAAAUUUUCGUUGGUAGAAAACCAACAAAGUUCCAAUGCUAUGUUUAGUGGAGGCAUGCAAAGAAAAUUGACAUAAUUCACCACUCUGCAUUCCAAACAAGGAUAAAGUGAGAGUUUAAAAGAGCUGCACUCACCUGAAAAU
rnacentral:misc_RNA from 1 species